CAAGAAGCAGUUUAAGUUUAAAAUAUUAGUUUUGGGGACUAGAGAUGAGAUAAAGUCCUUCUUGA
rnacentral:tRNA from 1 species